GACAGAGGGGGCGAGCGUUGUGCGGAGUCACUGGGCGUAAAGCGCGCGCAGGCGGUGACCUAAGUGUCGUGUGAAAGCCCCCGGCUCAACUGGGGGAGGCCAUGGCAGACUGGGUCGCUCGAGCUGCGGAGAGGCCCCUCGAAUUGCCGGUGUAGCGGUGAAAUGCGUAGAGAUCGGCAGGAAGACCAAGGGGGAAGCCAGGGGGCUGUCCGCAUGCUGACGCUGAGGCGCGACAGCGUGGGGAGCAAACCGG
rnacentral:rRNA from 1 species